rnacentral:rRNA from 1 species
UACGUAGGGGGCAAGCGUUGUCCGGAGUUACUGGGCGUAAAGCGUGCGCAGGCGGUUUUGUAAGUUUGUCGUGAAAGCCCCGGGCUCAACCUGGGAAUUGCGAUGAAGACUGCAAGGCUAGAAUCUGGCAGAGGGGGGUAGAAUUCCACGUGUAGCAGUGAAAUGCGUAGAGAUGUGGAGGAACACCGAUGGCGAAGGCAGCCCCCUGGGGUCAAGAUUGACGCUCAUGCACGAAAGCGUGGGGAGCAAACAGG